rnacentral:rRNA from 1 species
UACGGGGGGGGCAAGCGUUGUUCGGAAUUACUGGGCGUAAAGGGCUCGUAGGCGGCCAACUAAGUCAUACGUGAAAUCCCUCGGCUUAACCGGGGAACUGCGUCUGAUACUGGAUGGCUUGAGUUCGGGAGAGGGAUGCGGAAUUCCAGGUGUAGCGGUGAAAUGCGUAGAUAUCGGGAGGAACACCUGUGGCGAAAGCGGCGCACUGGACCACUUCUGACGCUGAGGCGCGAAAGCUAGGGGAGCAAACAGG